UACGUAGGGGGCAAGCGUUGUCCGGAUUUAUUGGGCGUAAAGAGCGUGUAGGCGGCUUGGUAGGUCUUGCGUCAAAACCUGAGGCUCAACCUCAGUUCGCGUGGGAAACCUUCUAGCUAGAGUCCGGAAGAGGAGAACGGAAUUCCCAGUGUAGCGGUGAAAUGCGCAGAUAUUGGGAAGAACACCAGUGGCGAAGGCGGUUCUCUGGGACGGUACUGACGCUGAGACGCGAAAGCGUGGGGAGCGAACAGG
rnacentral:rRNA from 1 species